rnacentral:lncRNA from 1 species
CACAAUAACACCUCCCUUCAGAGCACGCAGCGCCUGAGUAUGUUUGCCUUUUCAACACGCCCUUGGUGAGGAAUCAGUGGCUUCUGUUUCUAGAAAAGGAGGCUGAGAGGGAGCCAAGGAGCCCACGCCGGAGCUGCCCUCCUUCAAGAUCCCGUCUUGGG